CAUAAAAUUUUCCCCCAAAUUACCUCGAAAAGGCGCUGUUCCCUGUCAAGCGAAUAUAAGGCGAGAUGCAUGGAUUAAAAUUUUGUUUGUCAUGUAGAUUUUAUAAUUGCUUAGUCUUUUUUAUUCGAAAUAACAAAGCAGCUGACUGCAAUUCUCGACAGACUACCAUUUUAAGAAUAGUCGCAUUAUUUAAAAACGGUGUUAUAUGUGCCGGACGUGGAACGGAGAAACAAAACCUAAUGCAUGCAUUUUGCAAACGCUGGAUAUAAAAUUUUUCGUGUGAGCCAGCAAACAGCCUCCUAAAACAGUGUCAGUGAGUAAUUUAGUUUGGAGAGGAUUAAAGAGUCGCAAAGCUUUAUGCGCAAGUCCACAUUAAGGUGUUGACUGACGUGAUGCAACACCUUCGAUCGAUAGAAACAGUUUGCGAACAGUCUCGAGCACAUGUCCUUCAAAGUGAAGGGAACCGUCCGUGAUAACACCUUAAUUUAUCGCCUCCGAAAGUCGGUCUAUAUAGUUCGAGUCUAUAAGUUAUUUGUGGGUCCAUGGACAAAACCUCCACAAGUUGACGCACUGUACAAAGUAUCAAAAACUUUGAUUUACAUGGAUUCAAUACUAAAUUGGACAACUCUCGUGAAAUCCUCGUUCAGCUGACUAAUCGCGGUACGCGCUUCGACAGGUUUAAAGGACACAUAUAUUUGUAGGUCGUCAGCAUAUAUAGAUGGCACUUGGAAUCCUUAAUACUAUCUACAGUGUACACAAUGAACAAAAUAGGGCUCAGGACAGACCCUUAAGGAACCCCUCUAGUGACAGUGGCGACACCAGAAAACAGUGAAGACCCAUCCUCACCGUGCACCUCCACCCGCGCUUGGCGGAAUAAAUAGAAGUCGGUAGAGGGUCCAAAUCAGUUGAGAUCUACAGUUCGUGUAAGCUGGAAAUGGUUUGUUUGCCAUGAGUUAUUUCGAAUUAACGAAAGCAAAUAUCCCAACGGUAAAUAUAGCUGUAAGUGAUGUACUUUACAUGCAGCAUGGAAUGGGGUGGCCAUAUGUUUUGCAACUGAUGGAAGGACAAGACGCACUUAUUCAAUUGAAAUUAGAACCACCCAUCAACAGUUGCUAUCUAACUACAUCUGUGGGAGAGAAAUUUAGUAUCAACUCGCCAUCCAGUAACAAAUAUGAGAAAUGGACUGAUGGUUGCGGUGUGAGAAUAAAGACAAUUGCAAAGAAAGACGAAGGGCGUUGGAGAUUGA